CCUACGGGUGGCAGCAGUGAGGAAUAUUGGUCAAUGGGCGGGAGCCUGAACCAGCCAAGUCGCGUGAGGGAAGACGGUCCUAUGGAUUGUAAACCUCUUUAGGCGGGGAGCAAUGCCGGGCACGCGUGCCCGGAGGGAUAGUACCCGCAGAAUAAGCAUCGGCUAACUCCGUGCCAGCAGCCGCGGUAAUACGGAGGAUGCGAGCGUUAUCCGGAUUGAUUGGGUUUAAAGGGUGCGUAGGCGGAUUUUUAAGUCAGCGGUAAACUGUCCGGGCUCAACCCGGGCCGGCCGUUGAAACUGGGGAUCUUGAGUGGGCGAGAAGUAGGCGGAAUGCGUGGUGUAGCGGUGAAAUGCAUAGAUAUCACGCAGAACUCAGAUUGCGAAGGCAGCAUACCGGCGCCCGACUGACGCUGAGGCACGAAAGCGUGGGGAUCGAACAGGAUUAGAUACCCUUGUAGUC
rnacentral:rRNA from 1 species